rnacentral:ncRNA from 1 species
AUUGACCUUGUCAAAAAUGGUAUGGACAAGGGGAAUCCGACUGUGUAAUUAAAACAAAGCAUUGUGAUGGCCCCUAUGGAGGCUGACGCAAUGUGAUUUAUGCCCAGUGCUCUGCAUGUCAAAGUGAAGAAAUUCAACCAAACAUGGGUAAAUGACCGGAGUAAUUAUGACUCUCUUAAGGUAUCAACACGCCUCGUCAUCUAAUUAGUGUCGUGCAUGAAUGGAUUAACGAGAUUCCCACUAUCCCUAGAUACUAUCUAGAGAAACCAUAGCCAAGGGAACGGGCUUGGAAAAAUUAGUGGGGAAAGAAGACCAUGUUGAGCUUAACUCUAGUCCGACUUUGUGAAAUGACUUGAGAGGUGUAUAAUAAGUGGGAGUCAUUUUCAAGGCAAGUGAAAUACAACUACUUGUAAUGCUAUUUUACUUAUUCCAUGGGGCAGAGAUGGGGAAUUGCACAUAUGUUAAAAGAUAACGCACAUUUCCUCAAAGUGUUGUCAUUGAUGGAAAUAAUCGAGAGCUCAUUAUUCACACACUUGAUGGCAAUGAGUUUAGGAAACCAAAGAGGAUCAUUGCUUUUAAGGACAAACAAAGUUCCUACAAUCCCUAUGCUUUUAGCCAACAUCCGCCUAU